GUUAUGGAAAUUAUGUUUUUUAUAUUGGAUAUCCGAUAGUUUCGGUUACGGAGCUCCCUGACAUCCUUGGGUGCCUACUCAAGAUGCAUC